rnacentral:rRNA from 1 species
GAUGAACGCUAGCUACAGGCUUAACACAUGCAAGUCGAGGGGAAACGGCAUCGAAAGCUUGCUUUUGAUGGGCGUCGACCGGCGCACGGGUGAGUAACGCGUAUCCAACCUGCCCAUCACUUGGGAAUAACCUUGCGAAAGUAAGACUAAUGCCCAAUGACAUCCCACGAAGGCAUCCGAAUGGGAUUAAAGAUUUAUCGGUGAUGGAUGGGGAUGCGUCUGAUUAGCUUGUUGGCGGGGUGACGGCCCACCAAGGCAACGAUCAGUAGGGGUUCUGAGAGGAAGGUCCCCAACAUUGGCACUGAGACACGGUCCAAAAUACUACGGGAGGCAGCAGUGAGGAAUAUUGGUCAAUGGGAGAGAGCCUGAACCAGCCAAGUAGCGUGCAGGAUGACGGCCCUAUGGGUUGUAAACUGCUUUUAUAAGGGAAUAAAGUGGGUCACGUGUGACUUUUUGCAUGUACCUUAUGAAUAAGGACCGGCUAAUUCCGUG